rnacentral:lncRNA from 1 species
UGGAAAGUCUUGGACCUUCCAGGUCUGUGUCUUGGAGACAUCAAGCCCCUGGGAAUUACCUGACUGCCAAGGGAUUUCCAGCGCAGCCCAAAUCCACUGACUAAUGGGUUAUAGGUAUAAACUACAGUUCCUUUUCUACAACACGGGACACUGUGAGAGCUACCCCGGCUUAGGAGCCUUUGAUAAUUGACCAGGAGUUUCACAGGACAGGAACUGCAUCCAAACCAAAGCAACAGCCCGAAACCCUACAGGCCAGCAUCUGCACAUGGACAGUUGCGGUGGAUUUUACAGGAUGGAGUCAGGAGGAAGUUGACUGUCUCCCAUGUCCUCAAGACCCUCAGAGGCAGGAUUCAGCGGGUCCUGGAUGCUUCUGAAGACAGUUUGAGGGUCUAAGAGUCUAACCAGAUGAUGUACCUCUGCCUCUGAGGGUUGCAGGCCGGAUUGCCCAGGAAGGGACUGAAAGCAAGCCGCAGACUCAGGAGACCCCAGUAUCUAUACAAAAUUAGCUGGGGCUGCACCCAUGGGGAGAGCUGAAGUGACCCUGAACUUUAUAGAAGAUGUCCCUCCCCAGAACCUCACAUCAAGAGAGAGCUGCCACAAGCCAGCUAACACCUGCCCCAGAGCUGGGCAUUUUUCUUUGUUGCUGGUGAUAAGAAUCAAUAGUCCAUUCAUCAUCUCUUUGUAGGACACUGGAUUCAGGAACUCAUACAGAUACCAGCAUCAGAGGUGCCCAAGUCCAUUCUAGAUGGCCUUAAAUAUGGCGUGUAACCUGUGCACACCCUUCUGGGCCCCCCUCAGUCAUCUCUGGAUGACUAAAGCUAAGAAGCAGCAGAUGCUAUGCCGGUCACUACGCUGAGUGGGGGCGGGGAACGCACAGCAGGAAAGUUAUCUGUGCAUGUUCGGUACGGAUGCAAUAUUUUCCUCAGUGUGUCUAGUCCAUGGUUGGUUGAGUCCAUAGCUAUGGAGCCUGAAGACACAGAGAACUAUUAUAUCUGUCACCUUGACACCUAAGUGGACCGCUGGUCAGAGAAAGGGCUAGCCUGGAGGGUCAGGCAGGAACUCUGGGAACAUACCAGGUCUCAGUGGAGAUGCCGGGCCGGCUUUCCAGUCUCUUCUGAGGCUAGGGAGUCUGUUUCUGUCUCUCUGUUGCUGGCAGGGUUCUCUUCUUUGGUUGUUGGCUACAGACACCAAACAGUUCUUUACACAUGGGAUGCCUGUCCCCUCUCCUUGACUGCCCAAAACACGGUCUCUGAUGGCCUUUUCCCAAGUGAGGUCUCUGACAAAGGGAGUAAUUUUGUGCACUACUGACUUUAGAAGUGAUGUCCUAUGA